rnacentral:rRNA from 1 species
GACGGAGGAUGCAAGCGUUAUCCGGAUUUAUUGGGUUUAAAGGGAGCGUAGGCGGGACAAUAAGUCAGUGGUGAAAGCCUGGGGCUCAACCCCGGAACUGCCAUUGAUACUGUUGACCUAGAGUACAUUUGAUGUGGGCGGAAUGUGUCAUGUAGCGGUGAAAUGCUUAGAUAUGACACAGAACACCGAUUGCGUAGGCAGCUCACAAAACUGUAACUGACGCUGAGGCUCGAAAGCGUGGGGAGCGAACAGG